rnacentral:lncRNA from 1 species
GACUCUUCUAGAUUGAGGAAAAUUGCGCGGCACGUAAUUAUGUCGAUGUAAACAUGACAUGUGGGCCUUCUCUCCAUAUUUUCUGAUAACCCCCUGCAGAAAUAGAUAAAUACCAAAGCUCGUGGAAUUCUAUCAAAUAAAACCCUAAUUCUAGAUGUUGGUUUCAUUUGGAUCCUUUUCUUUGUUUAUUUGAUGGUUAAAUUUAGUACUUAAGGACCGUCAACAAACUCCCCCAAGCUUACCCUUCGCUCGUCCCUGAGCAAACAGCUAAACUCAGAUGGAUCAGGAGUUGCUUCGAUGUUUUCUUUCCUGACAGGCACACAUGCUUUCACAUAAAAAUUCUUCGAGAUUAGAGUGAAGUGUUAUGGAGCUUAGUACCUGCACUUAAGUCUUAAGUAAUCGAAAGACAAAAUAAUUAAGUCAAGCACUAUUCCUCAUGUCUAUACUUCACCUUUGUUCUGGGGUUUUGUAUAAGUUUUCAAAAAUAAAACUCAGAGUUCCCAGCUAUGAUUCUCUCAAGUCUCUCUAUAUGUGGUAUUUGUGGAUCCUUACAAAGAUGUCACCUACCUAUAGCUAAUGGAAUAUUUAAGUGGAGCUCAUAGGAGUGAAAAACAGCUCAUACAUAUGUUGUCUAAUCGAGCCAUGGAUCCAAAGGAACUCAGCAUAUAAUUAAAUCAAGAUGUGCAUGUGUGGUGGAGUAAAUGAUAGUAUUGGUGAAAAUAUAAGUAAUGAUAAAACUUACUUCUCAUUGCUCCUCAUAUUGCUAUCUCUCCUCUUCUUUGAUCUUUGCUUUGGGAGAACAUGGGCUAUCUUUUUCCUUUCUUCUUUUUUUUCAGGUGGGUAGUAGAUACCCCUAAUUCUACUGUCGGACACUUGUCCAUUUUUUCCGCUCAAGUGGGCAUCUUUGUACCCCUAAUUCUACUCCGGACACUUGUCCAUUUUUACCUCUCGUCUCACUUUUUUCUUUCUUUUUCGAGGUUCCGAGCACUUGCCCCUUUUUAUUUCCUCAUAUAUUUUUGCAUGACCCAUGCCUCUUUUGCAUUGAAUCUUAUUGGAGAGAGAAUAACAACACUUUGGACAGUGAGUGAUAAUAUUUUUAGCAAUUUUAAUGAUUGGUGGUGAAUGGUGUAGUGGAUGUGUGCAAGUGAAUAUCUUAAUUUAACCACAUGAAAAGCUCCUAAGGGUCUACACAGCUCGAUCAAACUCAAUGUGAAUAUAGUGAAAGAUGUUAUAGCAAGUAUGGCUGUGAUAGGAGGUUUGUCAUGCUAGGAACUCAUCAUGUGAUUUGUAAGUUUUCAAAAUAAAUCUCCAGAACUCAUUGUAGUAGGAACAAGAUAAACAAUAGCUCAAACUUUAUAUCAUGCCUUUCUCUUACCUAGACUUUAGUUUUAUGCUUCCCAUAGAUAGUAAUUUCAGUUUUUAGUAAUUCCUGGAAGAACUCUAAUAUAAAAGCUAGGUACUUGAAAGUAAGCAAACAGAGCAACUGUUCAUCAUUUCCAUCAAGCAUAUUUUUGGUCUUUUUAUUUUUCUUGAGAUUAACACUUAGCAGAUAAAUAAACACACUUGUCUACACACUCUUUUUACUUUGUUUUCAUGUUUAUAGAAUGCAG